UUUUUCUGAUUUGUGGAAGAGGCUGAAAAUCUUGGUAGAGCGUGUGUUGUCAUCAGCUUUGUCUCUUGUUCCUAUGAGAUGGGAGUUAAAUAAUGACACAAAAUUU
rfam:Triticum urartu cultivar G1812 contig946886, whole genome shotgun sequence.